AGAGUUUGAUCCUGGCUCAGAGCGAACGCUGGCGGCAGGCUUAACACAUGCAAGUCGAGCGGGCGUAGCAAUACGUCAGCGGCAGACGGGUGAGUAACGCGUGGGAACGUACCUUUUGGUUCGGAACAACACAGGGAAACUUGUGCUAAUACCGGAUAAGCCCUUACGGGGAAAGAUUUAUCGCCGAAAGAUCGGCCCGCGUCUGAUUAGCUAGUUGGUGAGGUAAUGGCUCACCAAGGCGACGAUCAGUAGCUGGUCUGAGAGGAUGAUCAGCCACAUUGGGACUGAGACACGGCCCAAACUCCUACGGGAGGCAGCAGUGGGGAAUAUUGGACAAUGGGCGCAAGCCUGAUCCAGCCAUGCCGCGUGAGUGAUGAAGGCCCUAGGGUUGUAAAGCUCUUUUGUGCGGGAAGAUAGUGACGGUACCGCAAGAAUAAGCCCCGGCUAACUUCGUGCCAGCAGCCGCGGUAAUACGAAGGGGGCUAGCGUUGCUCGGAAUCACUGGGCGUAAAGGGUGCGUAGGCGGGUCUUUAAGUCAGGGGUGAAAUCCUGGAGCUCAACUCCAGAACUGCCUUUGAUACUGAGGAUCUUGAGUUCGGGAGAGGUGAGUGGAACUGCGAGUGUAGAGGUGAAAUUCGUAGAUAUUCGCAAGAACACCAGUGGCGAAGGCGGCUCACUGGCCCGAUACUGACGCUGAGGCACGAAAGCGUGGGGAGCAAACAGGAUUAGAUACCCUAGUAGUCC
rnacentral:rRNA from 1 species